AAUUAGUUCUAUUUAUUAAUCUCAAAUGCACACCACAUGUUUGUUACAUUGCCUAAAUGCGCGAUCAUUCCAUUCACGAGCUCUAACUAACCCUUCUAGCUAAUAUUAAAGUUUGAUUGAGUUGAGUCCAAUUCAAUGUGCUGAUGACAUGGUUGCAAAUAUGUGAUCCAAUUCAGCCAACUCGAUAAAGAGUACUGAAGUGGCAUGUCCAUUAGCAUCCAAGUGGUGGAAACAGAAGACUUGCAAGAAUCGAAUCUGCAUGGGUCUGCCUCAAUCAGCAACUGGACCACCUCAUUCAUAGUUGGGCGGAGGGCUGGGUUGUUACAGGUACAGCAGAUAGCAAUCCGCAGAACCUGGAUCAUCUCAUCCCUGAAAGACCCUGACAAUCGUUUGUCCAAUACUUCCAUAGCUCCUUCCUUGGUGUCUGCUUUUGCUGAAAUCCAAUAUAUUAUAUUCUUGUUCUCUCCAAAGUCUGCCUCUAGUGGCUUCUUCCCUGUUAUUAAUUCCAUCAGCACUACCCCAAAACUGUAGACAUCA